rnacentral:rRNA from 1 species
UACGAGUGCCUCAAGCGUUAUCCGGAAUCACUGGGCGUAAAGGGCGUGUAGGCGGUCCGCUAAGUCUGAUGUGAAAGCCCGGGGCUCACCCCCGGAAGGGCAUUGGAAACUGGCGGACUCGAGUCCCGGAGAGGAAGGUGGAAUUCCUGGUGUAGCGGUGAAAUGCGUAGAUAUCAGGAGGAAUACCGGUGGCGAAGGCGGCCUUCUGGACGGUGACUGACGCUGAGACGCGAAAGCGUGGGGAGCAAACAGG